UUCCGGUUGAUCCUGCCAGACCCUACUGCUAUCGGGGUGGGACUAAAACAUGCGAGUCGAACGACUUCUAGCCAUGAUGAAGUCGUGGCAUACGGCUCAGUAACACGUGGCUAACCUACCCUUGAGACGGAGACAACCCCGGGAAACUGGGGCUAAUCCCCGAUAGAUGAGAACCCUUGGAACAGGUUCUCGUCCAAAAGGCAUCAAGGCCACGCUUCUCGGUGUCGCUCAAGGAUGGGGCCGCGGCCGAUCAGGCUGUUGGUGAGGCAACGGCUCACCAAACCUAUAACCGGUACGGGCCGUGGGAGCGGGAGCCCGGAGAUGGGAACUGAGACAAGGUCCCAGGCCCUACGGGGCGCAGCAGUUGCGAAAACUCCGCAAUGCACGAAAGUGUGACGGGGCUACCCCGAGUGCCGUCCGCUGAGGAUGGCUUUUCCCCGGUGUAAGGAGCCGGGGGAAUAAGGAGAGGGCAAGUCUGGUGUCAGCCGCCGCGGUAAUACCAGCUCUCCGAGUGGUGGGGAUGCUUAUUGGGCUUAAAGCGUCCGUAGCCUGCCCUUCAAGUCUCUCGUUAAAUCCAGCGAUUCAAUCGUUGGACUGCGGGAGAUACUGUUGGGCUAGGAGGCGGGAGAAGCCGACGGUAUUUCCGGGGUAGGGGUAAAAUCCUAUAAUCCCGGGAGGACCACCAGUGGCGAAGGCGGUCGGCUAGAACGCGCUCAACGGUGAGGGACGAAAGCUGGGGGAGCAAACCGGAUUAGAUACCCGGAUAGUCCCAGCUGUAAACGAUGCGGGCUAGGUGUUGGAGUGGCCACGAGCCACUUCAGUGCCGCAGGGAAGCCAUUAAGCCCGCCGCCUGGGGAGUACGGCCGCAAGGCUGAAACUUAAAGGAAUGGGCGGGGAAGCGCU
rnacentral:rRNA from 1 species